CGCGGCUGGGAGCCUGGCAGGGCCCGGCCCCGCUUUGCUCCGCGCUGCAGGCCCGGGGCGGUGCUGAUCGUGAUUGCUCUCCCUUGCCCUGGGUCACUGGCCGUGAGUGUUGGGUGAGAGCUGCUUACAGAACUGCUGACAGUGUAGCUGUUGCCACCCAGACCCCAGCUCAGCAGCUAGAGAAGACUUCAGGAGGCAGAGGAAGCAAGCUGUCUCCCUGAGAGAGCACAGGCAAGGCACAGCUGCUGGCUGACCACGGAGGUCCUGCAGGGAGCUGCUGGGGGCAGCAGGAGAACGAUUCCUGAGCGCCUGGAGCAGAGGCAGAACUGUCUGAAGUUUGCAUCCUGAGUGAGAGAGGAGAACAACUGUGAGAGGUUACAGACCCGAGGGAGUGAAUAACUGCAGGAAGGGCAUCAGGACCUGCAAGGAGUGGCUGAAGUGCCCAGAGGCAAGGAGGUGCAUGUGAGGCUGCUGGACAGAACCAGGCAGCAAACCUUUGAUCAAGUAACGAGAGGUGACAGUGAGAGAGGAGCCCUAAAUGCCUGACCGAGCCUGGGGACAAGUACAGGAGACACAGGGGCACAGAGAUGUCCUGCAGCUGAAGUGAAACUCAACCCAGAGGGCAUCCCCCAGAAGACUGGAGGGGCUCACACAGGGCUCAUGCAGCAAGGUUCUUACUGCAUUUUUGACAGGUCCCUACAGACAUGUGGGAGAGGGGAGCAGUGGUUCAGGCAGCCAGCCCUGGUUCAGAGAAUCCCAGGAUGGCUCAGGUCAGAAGGGACUUCAGAGAUCAUCUGCUCCAAACCAUGGGCAGGGACACCUCUCAAGUUAUUCCAGGUUGCUCCAGGCCUCAUCCAACCUGGCCUGGAACACCCUCAGGGAGGAGCCAUCCACAGCCUCUCUGGGCAACCUGUUCCAGUCUCUCCCCAUGUGUGCUGGGACAGGCUGGAGGAUGCUUGGAGCUACUGUAA